UUAAAGCAGUAACCAUCUGCCAUCUAGACACAUCAGAAUGGGACCCAGAGCAUAUGUCCUUCCAAAUCGUCAACGUUAAGCCCGGAACCAUUCCCAUCUGCCAUUUCAUUUCCACUGAUGCUAUUGCCUGGGUUCCGAACCACAAAUCUGCAUGAUCAUCACUUAGCACUGUACGUAUAAUUAUCUCCUUACUUAUUUCUGCCUCUUCAUCAUGUGGUGUAAGAUAUAUGAUGAGAUGAAGUUUUUGGGAUUAGUGGUUGGGUUGCCUGAAAAACACAGAUUACAGAAACUGCUUGAAAUUAACCCGAUCAUGUUUUCUCUUGUAACUAUAUAGACUUCAACUUGUACUCAUAAUAAAGCAUGCUAUAUUUAUGAAGAGAUAUUAAUCUAUAUAUAUUUUUUAUAUAUGCUUUGGCUUUGUGGUUCUACCCAAUGUUUGAGUGUUGAAUUGUUACGUUGGAAUAGGCUGCUAAUGCAUGUAGUUAGAGAAGCCUUCAUUUAUAUCAAAGUCCUCAAACUAUCAAGAACUAAUGUAUCCAGAAACAUAUACCAAGACGCAAAACAACAUAUUUUCCAUGCUCUGUCUGUAACACCAAAGCAAACUUCCUUGAUCACAAAAGGAUCAAAUUCCAGUACUAAUCUAAUCCAUCAUGUAAAGCAUACAAGUGCCUCCCUAAAUACUAUACUCUUUUUGUUAUUUCCUACUAUACUAUUUAAGUUUGCAUACUCAUAUAGCAUAUGCAAACACAAUUAGAAAUUCUACAAGAUACAAACAACCCCCUCAACUUUGACCAGUGUGUCAAUUUAGUUCUUGAAAUUUAGAUUACAAAGCAAAAUCAAAUCAUACCAUGAAACACAAGCGACUUAAACCUCCAGGCAAAUAGAUAUUAUGAACAUAUAUAGCAAUUUAUAGAACAAUACAUUAAUCCAGAAGAAAUAUUAUGAAAUGAAAAGAAUAAAAAGUAGAAAAACACAAGGAAAGGAAUUUGCACCUGCUCACUUGCAGAUUGCUUUCUCCGGCCGUAGAUGUAACAGAAAUUUUCUCUUAAUAAUACCACAAUGAUCGGGUAAUUGUAAGAACAAGUUGAUUUAAAAUUCCUUGACCCAAAAAAAAAAAAAGUUGAUUUAAAAUUCAG
rnacentral:lncRNA from 1 species